UACGUAGGUGACAAGCGUUGUCCGGAUUUACUGGGCGUAAAGAGCGCGCAGGCGGUUGAUCAAGUCGAGUGUGAAAGCCCCCGGCUCAACUGGGGAGGGUCAUUCGAUACUGAUCGACUCGAAGGCAGGAGAGGGUAGUGGAAUUCCCGGUGUAGUGGUGAAAUGCGCAGAUAUCAGGAGGAACACCGAUGGCGAAGGCAGGUCUCUGGGCAUUAACUGACGCUGAGGGGCGAAAGCAUGGGGAGCGAACAGG
rnacentral:rRNA from 1 species